UUAAGCGAACAAGCGUACACGGUGGAUGCCCUGGCAGUCAGAGGCGAUGAAGGACGUGCUAAUCUGCGAAAAGCGCCGGUAAGGUGAUAUGAACCGUUAUAACCGGCGAUGUCCGAAUGGGGAAACCCGGUGCACUUCGGUGCAUCAUCGUUAGCUGAAUACAUAGGCUAACGAGGCGAACCGGGGGAACUGAAACAUCUAAGUACCCCGAGGAAAAGAAAUCAACCGAGAUUCCCCCAGUAGCGGCGAGCGAACGGGGAACAGCCCAGAGCCUGAAUCAGCUUGUGUGUCAGUGGAACGGUCUGGAAAGGCCGGCGAUACAGGGUGACAGCCCCGUACACGAAGGCACACAGGCUGUGAGCUCGAUGAGUAGGGCGGGACACGUGAUAUCCUGUCUGAAGAUGGGGGGACCAUCCUCCAAGGCUAAAUACUCCUGACUGACCGAUAGUGAACCAGUACCGUGAGGGAAAGGCGAAAAGAACCCCGGCGAGGGGAGUGAAACAGAACCUGAAACCGUGUACGUACAAGCAGUGGGAGCCUUCGUAAGAGGGUGACUGCGUACCUUUUGUAUAAUGGGUCAGCGACUUAUAUUCUGUAGCAAGGUUAACCGUAUAGGGGAGCCGAAGGGAAACCGAGUCUUAACCGGGCGUUAAGUUGCAGGGUAUAGACCCGAAACCCGGUGAUCUAGCCAUGGGCAGGUUGAAGGUUGGGUAACACUAACUGGAGGACCGAACCGACUAAUGUUGAAAAAUUAGCGGAUGACCUGUGGCUGGGGGUGAAAGGCCAAUCAAACCGGGAGAUAGCUGGUUCUCCCCGAAAGCUAUUUAGGUAGCGCCUCGUGAACUCAUCUCCGGGGGUAGAGCACUGUUUCGGCUAGGGGGCCAUCCCGGCUUACCAACCCGAUGCAAACUGCGAAUACCGGAGAAUGUUAUCACGGGAGACACACGGCGGGUGCUAACGUCCGUCGUGAAGAGGGAAACAACCCAGACCGCCAGCUAAGGUCCCAAAGUCAUGGUUAAGUGGGAAACGAUGUGGGAAGGCCCAGACAGCCAGGAUGUUGGCUUAGAAGCAGCCAUCAUUCGGGUGAAAAGCCCGCUCGCCGGAAGACCAAGGGUUCCUGUCCAACGUUAAUCGGGGCAGGGUGAGUCGACCCCUAAGGCGAGGCCGAAAGGCGUAGUCGAUGGGAAACAGGUUAAUAUUCCUGUACUUGGUGUUACUGCGAAGGGGGGACGGAGAAGGCUAUGUCAGCCGGGCGACGGUCGUCCCGGUUUAAGCGUGUAGGCUGACUUUCCAGGCAAAUCCGGAAGGUUAAGGCUGAGGCGUGAUGACGAGGCACCACGGUGCUGAAGUGACAAAUGCCCUGCUUCCAGGAAAAGCCUCUAAGCAUCAGGUAACAUCAAAUCGUACCCCAAACCGACACAGGUGGUCAGGUAGAGAAUACCAAGGCGCUUGAGAGAACUCGGGUGAAGGAACUAGGCAAAAUGGUGCCGUAACUUCGGGAGAAGGCACGCUGACAUGUAGGUGAAGCCCCUGCGGGUGGAGCUGAAGUCAGUCGAAGAUACCAGCUGGCUGCAACUGUUUAUUAAAAACACAGCACUGUGCAAACACGAAAGUGGACGUAUACGGUGUGACGCCUGCCCGGUGCCGGAAGGUUAAUUGAUGGGGUUAUCGCAAGAGAAGCUCCUGAUCGAAGCCCCGGUAAACGGCGGCCGUAACUAUAACGGUCCUAAGGUAGCGAAAUUCCUUGUCGGGUAAGUUCCGACCUGCACGAAUGGCGUAAUGAUGGCCAGGCUGUCUCCACCCGAGACUCAGUGAAAUUGAACUCGCUGUGAAGAUGCAGUGUACCCGCGGCAAGACGGAAAGACCCCGUGAACCUUUACUACAGCUUGACACUGAACAUUGAGCCUUGAUGUGUAGGAUAGGUGGGAGGCUUUGAAGCGUGGACGCCAGUCUGCGUGGAGCCAACCUUGAAAUACCACCCUUUAAUGUUUGAUGUUCUAACCUGGCGCCGUGAUCCGGCGUGGGGACAGUGUCUGGUGGGUAGUUUGACUGGGGCGGUCUCCUCCCAAAGUGUAACGGAGGAGCACGAAGGUCAGCUAAUCCUGGUCGGACAUCAGGAGGUUAGUGCAAUGGCAUAAGCUGGCUUGACUGCGAGAGUGACGGCUCGAGCAGGUGCGAAAGCAGGUCAUAGUGAUCCGGUGGUUCUGUAUGGAAGGGCCAUCGCUCAACGGAUAAAAGGUACUCCGGGGAUAACAGGCUGAUACCGCCCAAGAGUUCAUAUCGACGGCGGUGUUUGGCACCUCGAUGUCGGCUCAUCACAUCCUGGGGCUGAAGUAGGUCCCAAGGGUAUGGCUGUUCGCCAUUUAAAGUGGUACGCGAGCUGGGUUUAGAACGUCGUGAGACAGUUCGGUCCCUAUCUGCCGUGGGCGCUGGAGAAUUGAGGGGGGCUGCUCCCAGUACGAGAGGACCGGAGUGGACGCAUCACUGGUGUUCGGGUUGUCAUGCCAAUGGCACUGCCCGGUAGCUAAAUGCGGAAGAGAUAAGUGCUGAAAGCAUCUAAGCACGAAACUUGCCCCGAGAUGAGUUCUCCCUGAGACUUUAAGUCUCCUGAAGGAACGUUGAAGACGACGACGUUGAUAGGCCGGGUGUGUAAGCGCAGCGAUGCGUUGAGCUAACCGGUACUAAUGAACCGUGAGGCUUAACCUU
rnacentral:rRNA from 1 species